UACGUAGGUGGCAAGCGUUAUCCGGAAUUAUUGGGCGUAAAGAGCGCGCAGGUGGUUAAUUAAGUCUGAUGUGAAAGCCCACGGCUUAACCGUGGAGGGUCAUUGGAAACUGGUUGAUUUGAGUGCAGAAGAGGGAAGUGGAAUUCCAUGUGUAGCGGUGAAAUGCGUAGAGAUAUGGAGGAACACCAGUGGCGAAGGCGGCUUCCUGGUCUGCAACUGACACUGAGGCGCGAAAGCGUGGGGAGCAAACAGG
rnacentral:rRNA from 1 species